rnacentral:rRNA from 1 species
UACGUAGGUGGCAAGCGUUGUCCGGAUUUAUUGGGUUUAAAGGGUGCGUAGGCGGACUAUUAAGUCAGUGGUGAAAGCCCCCAGCCUAACUGGGGAACUGCCAUUGAUACUGAUGGUCUUGAGUACAUUUGAGGUGGGCGGAAUGUGUCAUGUAGCGGUGAAAUGCUUAGAUAUGACACAGAACACCGAUUGCGAAGGCAGCUCACUAAACUGUAACUGACGCUGAGGCACGAAAGCGUGGGGAGCAAACAGG